rnacentral:rRNA from 1 species
AUUGAACGCUGGCGGAAUGCUUUACACAUGCAGGUCGAGCGGCAGCGCGGCCUUCGGGCUGGCGGCGAGCGGCGAACGGGUGAGUAAUGCAUCGGAACAUGCCCAGUCGUGGGGGAUAACACUUCGAAAGAAGUGCUAAUACCGCAUACGUCCUGAGGGGGAAAGCGGGGGAUCGCAAGACCUCGCGCGAUUGGAGUGGCCGAUGUCAGAUUAGCUAGUUGGUGGGGUAAAGGCCUACCAAGGCGACGAUCUGUAGCUGGUCUGAGAGGAUGAUCAGCCACACUGGGACUGAGACACGGCCCAGACUCCUACGGGAGGCAGCAGUGGGGAAUUUUGGACAAAGGGGGCAACCCUGAUCCAGCCAUUCCGCGUGAGUGAAGAAGGCCUUCGGGUUGUAAAGCUCUUUCGGCAGGAACGAAACGGUGGGCUCUAACAUAGUCCGCUAAUGACGGUACCUGAAGAAGAAGCACCGGCUAACUACGUG